rnacentral:lncRNA from 1 species
AUGAAGACCAUCCUCAGCAAUCAGACUGUCCACAUUCCUGAGAAUGUCGAAAUCACUCUGAAGGGUGCACAGUCAUUGUGAAGGUCCCCAGGGGGACUCUGCGGAGGGACUUCAAUCAUAUCAAUGUGAAGCUGAGUCUUCUUGGAAAGAAAAAGAAAAGGCUCCGGGUUGACAAAUAGUGGGGUAACAGAAAGGACCUGGCCACUGGCAGAACCAUCUGCAGUCACGUUCAGAACAUGAUCAAGGGUGUCACACUGGGCUACCAUUACAAGAUGAGGUCUGUGUAUGCUCCCUUCUCCACCAACGUCAUUAUCCAGGAGAAUGGGUCUUUGGUUAAAAAUCCGAAAUUUCUUGGGUGAAAAAUACAUCCAUAGGGUUCAGAUGAGGACAGGUGUUGCUUGUUCCGUGUCUCAAGCCCAGAAUGAUGUAUUAAUCCUUGAAGGAAAUGACAUUGAACUUGCUUCAAAUUCAGCCGCUCUGAUUCAGCAAGCCACAACAGUUAAAAACAAGGAUCUCAGGAAGUUUUGGGACGGCAUCUAUGUGUCUGGGAAGGGAACUGUGCAGCAGACUGAUGAGUGA